rnacentral:rRNA from 1 species
ACGGAAGGCAGCAGUGGGGAAUAUUGCACAAUGGGGGAAACCCUGAUGCAGCGACGCCGCGUGAGUGAAGAAGUAUUUCGGUAUGUAAAGCUCUAUCAGCAGGGAAGAAAAUGACGGUACCUGACUAAGAAGCCCCGGCUAACUACGUGCCAGCAGCCGCGGUAAUACGUAGGGGGCGAGCGUUAUCCGGAUUUACUGGGUGUAAAGGGAGCGUAGACGGUUCUGCAAGUCUGAUGUGAAAGGCAGGGGCUCAACUCCUGGACUGCAUUGGAAACUGUAGAACUAGAGUGCCGGAGAGGUAAGCGGAAUUCCUAGUGUAGCGGUGAAAUGCGUAGAUAUUAGGAGGAACACCAGUGGCGAAGGCGGCUUACUGGACGGUAACUGACGUUGAGGCUCGAAAGCGUGGGGAGCAAACAGGAUUAGAUACCCUGGUA